GAAUGGCUGGACAGAUGGGUGUGGAGAACUUGAAGAGUACGAGAAAGUGCUGGAGGAAGAGAGAAAUGUAGACAAGAUGACUCUUCAGAAUCAACUGGUGAAGAUUCAUAAUGGCGUGAGGAAGUUUCAGAGACAGCUAAAAGAUGUGAAGCCAACUCCUGAGUUGAUUGAAAGACUGAAAGAAAUAAUGUCAGAGGUGGAAAUCUCAAUCAAC